AACAGAUUUACUUCGGUAAUGACGUUAGGAAAGCGAGCGGCGGAUGGGUGAGUAACACGUGGGGAAUCUGCCCCAUAGUCUGGGAUACCACUUGGAAACAGGUGCUAAUACCGGAUAAGAAAGCAGAUCGCAUGAUCAGCUUUUAAAAGGCGGCGUAAGCUGUCGCUAUGGGAUGGCCCCGCGGUGCAUUAGCUAGUUGGUAAGGUAAAGGCUUACCAAGGCGAUGAUGCAUAGCCGAGUUGAGAGACUGAUCGGCCACAUUGGGACUGAGACACGGCCCGAACUCCUACGGGAGGCAGCAGUAGGGAAUCUUCCACAAUGGACGCAAGUCUGAUGGAGCAACGCCGCGUGAGUGAAGAAGGUUUUCGGAUCGUAAAGCUCUGUUGUUGGUGAA
rnacentral:rRNA from 1 species